rnacentral:rRNA from 1 species
AUCGAACGCUGGCGGCGUGCCUUACACAUGCAAGUCGAACGGCAAGGCGCUACUAAUCCUGGCGGCGAGUGGCGAACGGGGGAGUAAUACAUCGGAAUGUGCCCACCCGUGGGGGAUAACGCCGCGAAAGAUGUGCUACUACCGCCUCCUAUGUACGGAUGCAAGCAGGGGAUCGCAAGACAUUUUGCGCAGGGAGCGGCCGAUGGCAGACUAGGUAGUUGGUGGGGUAAAGGCUCACCAAGCCUUCGCUCUGUAGCUGGUGUGACAGAACGACCAGCCACACUGGAGACGAGACACCGCCCAGACUCCUACGGUACGCCGCAGUAGGGAAGGUUGGACAGUGGGCGAAAACCUUACCCAGCAAUGGCGCGUGCAGGACGAAAGCCUUCGGGUUGGAAACUGCUCUUGUACGGAACGAACCGGUCUUUUCUAAUAAAGAGCGCUAAUGACGGUACUGUAAGAAUAAGCACCGGCUAACUACGUG